UGAAAUUUAAAGGAAAAGUAUUGAUUAUUGUAAUAAAUCAAACUUUACUUUUAAUCAUUAUUGACUAUUGAUCCUUUGCGAUAUUCUAGAUCCAUCAGAACGUUUACAAAUAAAUAAAAUUGCAGAGAAAUAGAGAUGUUAACGAAUAUAAUAUUCUUAGAGUUUUUAAAAGGAUUUUGAUGAAGAUAGAAUGUAUUUAAUGCUUUUCUUUAAUCGAGAAAGAAAAGUGAAAUUUAAAGGAAAAGUAUUGAUUAUUGUAAUAAAUCAAACUUUAUUUUUAAUCAUUAUUAUCUAUUGAUCCUUUGCGAUAUUCUAGAUCCAUCAGAACGUUUACAAAUAAAUAAAAUUGAAGAGAAAUAGAGAUGUUAACGAAUAUAAUAUUCUUAAAGUUUUUAAAAGGAUUUAAAAGGAACAUUGAAAACUUUAUAGAUAAAACAGGCAAUUUGGUUAACUUAUGAUCACAGUUCAUAAAUUCCCUGUAGAGAACGAGCUUUCCAACGAUUCACCCAGAAAAUGACGUAUAUUCGUGGUGUUCUUAACGGGCGCCACUUUAAUGGAGACACGUGUCGCGGAUAUUUCAGAUCGUUGGUACACCGUGUCGCGAUGAUGAAGAGAACGACGACGUUCGAGGAAGAUUGAUGAGGGAACCGUUACCUUUUUCUCCUUCCACGAUGUCAUCCUUCCUGUUCCGUUCGAAGAAUUUUUCAACCGUCGAGUCAAGACUUUCUUCGAGCCAUCGAUGACGUUACAUUCUCAAGAGAGAAAUCGUCGCACCGUGUCCACGAUGGGUUCGCGAACGAACGUUGAUAACGCACAAGUUGUUAACGAAAAUCUUUCGGAUAGCCGGAGGUGGUUAACGAAGCAUCACCCCGGAUUAGGCUUGCGUCAAGCCACAAAACCAGCCUCUUCUGCGGGGUUCUGCGUACGAUGAAGAAACGGAGGUUAUUCUUGGUUGAACAAACACUGGAAUGGGUCGCGUGCGCCUCCCACAUAUUUAUAGAUUUUAUCUCUCUUUGACUUCGCCGA